rnacentral:rRNA from 1 species
UUCCGGUUGAUCCCGCCGGACCUGACUGCUAUCGGAUUGAUACUAAGCCAUGCGAGUCAUUGUAGCAAUACAAGGCAGACGGCUCAGUAACGCGUAGUCAACCUAACCUAUGGAUGGGAAUAACCUCGGGAAACUGAGAAUAAUGCCCAAUAGAACACUAUACCUGGAAUGGUUUGUGUUCCAAAUGAUUUAUCGCCGUAGGAUGGGACUGCGGCCUAUCAGUUUGUUGGUGAGGUAAUGGCCCACCAAGACUAUUACAGGUACGGGCUCUGAGAGGAGUAGCCCGGAGAUGGGUACUGAGACACGGACCCAGGCCCUAUGGGGCGCAGCAGGCGAGAAAACUUUGCAAUGUGCGAAAGCACGACAAGGUUAAUCCGAGUGAUUUGUGCUAAACGAAUCUUUUGUUAGUCCUAGAAACACUAACGAAUAAGGGGUGGGCAAGUUCUGGUGUCAGCCGCCGCGGUAAAACCAGCACCUCAAGUGGUCAGGAUGAUUAUUGGGCCUAAAGCAUCCGUAGCCGGCUCUGUAAGUUUUCGGUUAAAUCUGUAUGCUCAACAUACAGGCUGCCGGGAAUACUGCAGAGCUAGGGAGUGGGAGAGGUAGACGGUACUCGGUAGGAAGGGGUAAAAUCCUUUGAUCUAUCGAUGACCACCUGUGGCGAAGGCGGUCUACCAGAACACGUCCGACGGUGAGGGAUGAAAGCUGGGGGAGCAAACCGGAUUAGAUACCCGGGUAGUCCCAGCUGUAAACUAUGCAAACUCAGUGAUGCAUUGACUUGUGGUCAAUGCAGUGCUGCAGGAAGCCGUUAAGUUUGCCGCCUGGGAAGUACGUACGCAAGUAUGAAACUUAAAGGAAUUGGCGGGGGAGCACCACAAGGGGUGAAGCCUGCGGUUCAAUUGAGUCAACGCCGGGA